ACCUCAUCGGUACUGUGUUACGGAACUGCUUGUUUCUCGGUGGGCCGCGCCGGCCGGCUCAACGGUUUCUCUGGGUGUAGUCCCAUCCCUGGCCCGCAGUCCGCCCAAUCGAUAACAACGAAGCUACACGUCUGUAGCAAAACACACUUACACAACACUAUGCAAAGCGAACCACCACUCGAUAACGUCAAACAAUAGGAACUUCUAACUCAUGAACAAAAUAAACAGCUGUAACAACUAUGAACAUGUAAAAAACAAAGAUCGGGGCCCGGUUCCGGACACAGCGCGUCCGUGUCCCACGUUCUGCCAUUAGAUGGCCAUCAGCCUGUGCCGGCUGUUAUGCCAACUCUCUCCAACAAAGAAAAUUAUCCGGACAUUUCUCUCUUCAGAUACGGUUAUCUUCAAGCUGUUAUUUAUAAUUUCGUACUCGCUAACGUUUCCGGCACUUUAAGCCAGGUGCAUACGAAAAGCUGAAUAUCUUUUUCUGUUGGCGACCUUCGUAUGAUACCGGAGACCACAAAAAAAAAUCGGCCAGAAGUUAUUGCCAGUCAACAAAGGAAAGGAAAACAAGGGGAGAAAUAUAAACACAGACGCAAUUAUCUUUGGGCCCUUUCCUUUCCGGUUCGCACUUU